CAAUUAAGGAACUUGGCAAGAUGUCGGAAUAGCUGAGUGGUUUUAUUCCUCUAAGCAUUUGAAUAUACGGCUAUGCCUCAUCUAGUCAAUUGCUUUA
rnacentral:pre_miRNA from 2 species